AUGACCGUGACCGUUGGAUCCUCACAGCCCAGGGCUACUUUAACAAAGUUUAAGACGGACGCUUCACACCAGGGCAGUUAUAGCUGUCUCUACAGAACCCACUCCAACGGCAAAGCCAUCAGCUCCCCUUACAGCAACGUUACUAAAGUGGUCCUGCUUCAGCCCAACAUCUCUCUCAGUCCUCCAAAUGGAGGGAUGUUCUGGGGACUUCAGGGGCCAGAGGUGACCAGGGGCCACAGCUUCUCCAUCAUCUGCUCCAUUCAGCCACAGUAUCCCGGAGGCCUCUUCUAUCUGGACUUCUCUGGUUCCAACAGAACAGAGACUACGCCAGCAGUCAACCACUCUGCCUGCUUCCACUUCCCUGUUGCAGAGUAUAAAGACCAGGGGAAAUACAGCUGCAGCUAUGGAGUCAACAUCUCCACCUGGUCAUUCAGGUCGGCUAAUAGUGAACUAGCCGUCACCAUUAGAGGUAAACUAACACGUGUUUUAAAAUAAAACGUUUUUCAAAAAUGGCUUUUACAUGAUAUUCACCCCUAAGAGAGAAGAAUCACAACGUUGUAACGUAACUUAUCAUCCUUUUUCAUCACUUUCUUUUUGUUUUUAUGUCAUAUGAAUUGGCCAUCGACAAGUCUUGAUCUGUACUGUAGGUCUCAGCCUUGAAAUAUCUACCUUUUCCUCAGCCUCUAUGGUCCCCAUCAUUGCCUCUGGAGGGACUGGUGGGCUAGUAUUCCUGUUUCUGCUUCUGCUUGUCAUCUGUCUAGUCCACAGGAGGACCAGGAGGAGCAGCAAGCCAUCUACAGAGACUGACCAGAGAGAAUGUAAGUGCUAUGACUGUACUGCAAACAAAGGCUGAAUCUGAACUUAAUUUACACCUUGAGCUUGAAAAGUUGAGUUAAGCAGUAUCUCAAAAUUAACUUCAAAGACUUUUGUCCACAUCAUUUCGUCCGGAUGUUUUUUAAAACGUUUUUAAUCCCCAGCGUUUCCUAUUGCGAAUAUUAACGAGCAAAUUGUUACGCAACAGGUAUUGACAACAGACACAACAAAGGCGAGGACGACAAAGUAGAAGAGGAGGACUACGUGAAUGUUGAAAACAUCUGUGACGAGAGAAGUCUGGAGAGCGGGAAGGGGGAAAAGAGGAAUGGGAAGAAAAAAGGGCGCCGCUCCGGGAACAAGGAGGAUGUCUGUUUCAACGAGGAGGGGGGUGAAAGGGAAGGAAACGUUCACAGAAAGCUUGUUUGUGGUGGGUCUCGUGAGAAAGUGAAUAGUGCAGACGACGCUGAAGAUUAUGGCAAUGUCUCUGUCUAUGACAAUGUUGUAGCGCAUGACGUGAACCAAGACAUUUAUCAAAACUAUUAGGAGGAGUAACAGUGGACUGCGUGUCACUAAAGUAACUCAUUGGCAUCAACACAUUCAUGUGUAAAUAAAGUUAAGUGACAAUAAGUCAGAUGCAAUAGUAUAGCAACUACGGUUGACACUUAAACGAGACAUAUGACAUAAUGGUAUGGUAUCUAUUUUAGUUCGCUUUGUGUAACCAAUCGAAAUGUUCAGCAUAUUUGAUCCAUUGGGUCAAAUCCGAACUGUCGUUUUUUGUAUGCGUCGGUGGGGUGUCACUUUCUGUGUCUUUGAUCAGUUCCGGUGUUGUUGAGGAACUAGCAUUAUGUAUAAACUGUUGGUUGAUUGCACUAAAAUAAACAGGACUCUCAUUGCAUGCUUUUGAGUUGAACUUUUAUGUCUCCACUUCUUCUUUGAAGAGGAGUAGAAGGUGUUCGACCAAGUGAGAAAAGGUCCAACCAUAAAAAAUAAGAUGAGCAUUGGGAAGUGAAAGAUGUGACUCUCGACUCACUGUUUUGGGACUUUGCCUUCCUAAUCCACUUCCGUAGGUCAAGCUCUCACUUGAGAUGUGCCCUGUAUGUACAAUCAUACAGGGCACAUGGGCUUUACGGAGAACACAACCAUCUACCCUAGAGUGCCAGAGGAGCUGUGCACAGGAAAUGCGUCCUCGUAUAGAGUAAAAUCUUACAUUCGCCAGACCGUCUGCGACAGAGACUGGUCAUCACACGUUUUACCAGAAAGCUUGUUCGGUUCUACCAGAGAAAAUACCUUCCAUUAUUUCUGACAUGAAGACCAAUAUAGUGAGAAGUCUCUUUUAUCUGACAAUGGCUGAGUUUAACUUGCAAAACAUGCAAUUCAAUUUCAUUUCUGUCAACAAAGGGGGAACACUGCUUUGCUUGAAAUUAAUGUUUUUAACGGCUGCUUAUUGGAUUAAAGUACUCAGGGAUGAAUCCUACAUUCAGUUGAGAAAUGUGUAUCAAAUGUUCAUGUCACUGUUUAAAAACUUAGUCAAUAGUCAAAUUACCUAUCAAUGGUUCAGUAAAGGGGUGGAUUUUCUCAAUCAUAUCAUUGAGCAAAAAGGAAAGACUGACUCCUGCCAGAUAAUUGAUAAAGGCAAUUCAUUUAAUAUUGAUUGUUUAUGCAAACACAUUUUUAAUACAUUUCAAUUCAGAAUACAAUAUCCAUCCAAUCCAUCCAGUAAAAAAACUGAAGCACAGAUUGGUCACUUUUUAAAAAUAAUUUUGCACACAGAAACUAGAGGCUAUGAAUAACUUGGUCCAAAAGAAUGGCACCGAUGGCAACGAUUGCCAUAUGGGGCCGCUUUUAUAAGCAGUCUCACUUAAACCUUAAUAUCCAUCACCCCAUUUGACCUAGAGACUUGAAACGUUGUAUUUGGUUGUCUUUCCUCAUGCUGAACACAUUUUCUCUGAAGGACCCAUAGAUUUUCAUCAACCUUGAACAUUUUGGAAAACCUUUGAAAAACGUAUUCUCAUGAUGAACCAUAGACCCAAAUAACACCAAAUGUUACAAUGGUAAGUCUCUAAACUUAACUUGUGGUUGUCUUAGCUGAUUAGCG
rnacentral:lncRNA from 1 species